CAAUUACAACAAAGGACAAUUACAUAUUUACAGAAACAAUGACAGGAGAAGGUAACAGGAGAAUUUCCCAAUUGACAACCAACCCCAACAAGAACAAUACAAUAAAAAAGCAAAUAUCCAGUUUUUAGAAGUCGGACUGUAUCUGAAUCCAACUACGGCGGUGUGUACGUUUGCAGCCUGUUCGAAAAAUAUCCAUGCAGUUUUGAUUUAAAAAUAGAAACGGACUGGCAUUUUUUUAAAUCAUGUGGUAGAUUGUUCCAUAGAUUGUUCAAUAACUCUUGGAAAAAAAGAGUUUCUGUAAUAGUUUUGCUUAUGGUCAGUUAUUAUUUUAAGAUUGUUCGG